rnacentral:rRNA from 1 species
CCUACGGGCGGCAGCAGUGGGGAAUAUUGGACAAUGGGCGAAAGCCUGAUCCAGCCAUGCCGCGUGUGUGAUGAAGGCCUUCGGGUUGUAAAGCACCUUCAGUGGGGAAGAAAGCCUUGGGGCUAAUACCCUCGAGGAAGGACAUCACCCACAGAAGAAGCACCGGCUAACUCCGUGCCAGCAGCCGCGGUAAUACGGAGGGUGCGAGCGUUAAUCGGAAUUACUGGGCGUAAAGCGCGCGUAGGCGGUCUGAUAAGCCGGUUGUGAAAGCCCCGGGCUCAACCUGGGAACGGCAUCCGGAACUGUCAGGCUAGAGUGCAGGAGAGGAAGGUAGAAUUCCCGGUGUAGCGGUGAAAUGCGUAGAGAUCGGGAGGAAUACCAGUGGCGAAGGCGGCCUUCUGGACUGACACUGACGCUGAGGUGCGAAAGCGUGGGUAGCAAACAGGAUUAGAUACCCGGGUAGUC